rnacentral:rRNA from 1 species
AGCUAAUAGAUACCCAGGUAGUCCACGCCGUAAACGAUGAGUGCUAGACGUUGGGGCCCUUAGGGCUUCGGUGUCGCAGCUAAACGCAUUAAGCACUCCGCCUGGGGAGUACGGCCGCAAGGUUAAAACCUCAAAGGAAUUGACGGGGGCCCGCACAAGCGGUGGAGCAUGUGGUUUAAAAUUCGAAGCAACGCGCAGAACCUUACCAGCCCUUGACAUGGGCGUCGCGGGCUCAGAGAUGAGCCUUUCGGUUCGGCCGGACGCCGCACAGGUGCUGCAUGGCUGUCGUCAGCUCGUGUCGUGAGAUGUUGGGUUAAGUCCCGCAACGAGCGCAACCCCCGAUCUUCAGUUGCCAGCAUGUAGUGGUGGGCACUCUGGAGAAACCGCCGGUGACAAGCCGGAGGAAGGCGGGGUAUGACGUCAAGUCCUCAUGGCCCGUUAUGGGUCU